UACAGAGACUGCAAGCGUUAUUCGGAUUCACUGGGCGUAAAGGGUGCGCAGGCGGUCGGGUGUGUCAGAUGUGAAAUCCCGAGGCUCAACCUCGGAACUGCGUCUGAAACUACUCGACUAGAGUACUGGAGAGGGUAACGGAAUUCACGGUGUAGCAGUGAAAUGCGUAGAUAUCGUGAGGAACACCAGAGGCGAAGGCGGUUACCUGGACAGUUACUGACGCUCAGGCACGAAAGCAUGGGGAGCGAACAGG
rnacentral:rRNA from 1 species